rfam:Cavia porcellus supercont2_4 genomic scaffold, whole genome shotgun sequence.
GGGGAUUUAGCUCAGUGGCGUAAGUGUCUGCCUGGCAAGCAGAGGUCAUGAGUUCAAUCCCUA